AGAACGAACGCUGGCGGCAUGCCUAAUACAUGCAAGUCGAACGAACACUUCGGUGUUAGUGGCGCACGGGUGCGUAACGCGUGGGAAUCUGCCCUUGGGUUCGGAAUAACAGUUGGAAACGACUGCUAAUACCGGAUGAUAUCGAAAGAUCAAAGAUUUAUCGCCCAGGGAUGAGCCCGCGUAGGAUUAGCUAGUUGGUGAGGUAAAGGCUCACCAAGGCGACGAUCCUUAGCUGGUCUGAGAGGAUGAUCAGCCACACUGGGACUGAGACACGGCCCAGACUCCGUACGGGAGGCAGCAGUAGGGAAUAUUGGACAAGUGGGCGCAAGCCUGAUCCAGCAAUGCCGCGUGAGUGAUGAA
rnacentral:rRNA from 1 species